GGGCUGCAGCCCAGCCUCAUCCCCAACGACUGACAGUCCCUACUGUUCCAUGGAUUUUGGAGUGGUUUUGUUAGGCUGUGACUGAAGCCACAGUCCACUGAAAAAUAUCUUCCAGGCCUUGGGUCUGGAAUAGAUGUGCUCAAAUUGAUCAUUAAGUUGUGAGCUUAGUGAUCUUCAUAAGUUUGGCUUGGGUUAAUAGCACCCUUGUAGGACAAUGCAGAGCUUCUGAAACUGAAGACAAACAGAUAUAAUUUUGAUACUUUGUGCAGGCACACGGUUUGUGGUGAUUGGGAGUGAGGCUGGGCCCAGCCUCAUCCCCAAUGGGCACAGCUGUGCAGGACAGGUGAAUGGCAUUGAAGAUAACGAGACACGUGGCACUGCCCAACCACCAAAGGGAGCAGAGGGCACACAGGGGCAGGGCAUCAGCGUGAGGGGAUAAAAGGCUGGGCUGAAGAACAAGAAGGGCAGAUGCUUGCAACCUUCUGAGGAGCCAUGGUGUUACUGUGUAUGGGCAGGUGCCUGAAGCUUUCUGAUGUGGUCAGCCUUCACAGAGCAUCAAAAGAAACUGGGGAAAUGAAAUCAACAGAACUUCCAGCAUGGAAAUACCCGUGAGGAAUAAUUAGUCUUGCAAAAGCUCAUCAGUGGAUGCCACUCCAGGUGUUUCUGUGGGCAUCAACAGCUCUUUGGAAUCCUGCAAGGUCAGCAGGAGUCCUGCAGGUCCCUUGGGAUCGUGGAUGAACCCUGGUGGGUCACAGCCUCUUUGCAUCACUGUUCCACACAGCUCCAGUGAUGGACAGCCAUAAAGGCCAUCACUAAAGGCACUUGGAUACUGGAACCUGCUCAGCAUCGCAAAGCUGUAGUGCCUUAUCUGAGAGUGAUGUACUGAAGGUGAAUUGCAGCUUGAAUACAUGAUCUGCCUCUUCCCCCCCAUAUUUCAGGACAUAUCUGCUUUGCUUAGUGAAGGUGAUCACUGGCCUAGAGUCUUACAGAUAAUCAUUGCCUUUCUCUAGAGCUCAAAUUUAACAGUACUUAAUCCAGAUACUGUGGUGGAAAUUCAGCUAGCUGGAUGAAUUUAUUUCUUUCAUGAUAAGAACAUGAACCAAGUUCCAAAGCAUCAAUAAAAUUACAAAACAAAAUCUAUGCUCAGGCCAUGGAAUGAUGACUUCGGUCUCAUAGGUUUUGUGGCGUUUAUUGGACUAUUGAUUUUGGAUCCUGAAUGGAAAGUCCAAAAACUGGUGGAGAAAGAAAUAUGGAACUUUUUUCUUUUUUUUUUUUUAAUAUCCGAUUUUUAGACUUUUGCCUUGUUAUCCUAAAUUAUCCUAAAUAUCCUUCUAGCUAGCAGUUGUAGAUUUUUUAUUUGGUUGGUUUGUUUUGGUUUUUGGUUUGUUCUUUUUUUUAGUUUUCAUGAAGACAUGCUUUUAUUCAAUUGAAAUAGUGACAAAAUAGACUGUUUAAUAUUCCAUAGAGUUACUGUAGAGCUCCUGGUCACGGGAAGAAUGUACAAUAGCAGUAGUCAAUAAAAAGCAUUCACUGACCCAUCAGUCAGUGUUUCAGUGCUGGCUUGGGCAGGUAGAACAAGCUCCUGAAGUGAUCAGUGACAGUUUCCAGGUAACUUGUAUGAUGAAUGCACACCAACUCUCACUUUUAUGGAGUCAGGAAUUCCAGUGUUCAGAGGCACGUGAAGCUACAAACUAAUUCCUUGCCUGGCUCCAUGCAUUUCCAUCAUUCUGGACGUGUGGAGUUGCUCAGCUGUGAAUUUGCAGUUGAGGCUGUUGAAAAUAACUUGUGAUGGAAUGGCAUGGGACAGGGGAGCUGCACAUCUGCUCAUCUUUUAAGGACUUCCAAGAAUGGCAAUUCCACCACUUGCCAGCCAUCUUUCAGUGAAGACAUUUUCCCUGCUAUAGCAAAGAUCAUUUCCUCUCAUCCUGUUGCUUGUUGUUUGGGAGCAGACCCUUCCUGGCUGCACCCUCCUGUCAGGGAGUUGCAGAGAGUGAGCAGAUCCCCUCUGAGCCUCCUUUUCUGAGCCCUCCCAGCUGCUCCUGGUGCUCCAGCUCCUUCCCUGGACACACUCUAGCCCCUCAAUGUCCUUCCCCCUGAACUGGACACACCACGGGAGCAUGGGCACUGCCCUGCUCCUGCUGGCCACAGUGGUGCUGUUACAAAGUGUGUUUCUAAAACCUCUCUGUGAUGCUAAGAAGAAAAAAAAAAGGUGGAAUUUAUUUUAUUACUUUGCAACUGAUCAAAUUUAACAAUGUGUAUAUAAGGAAAAAUCUCAUUAAGAACAUCAGCAGAAAAACAAGGCAAAGAACAUCUUUACGUAUACAGCUCACAGCUGAGGCUUUGCAAAUUGCUGGUAACUGUAUCAGCAUAUGAUUCCUUCAUUUGCAUUUGCACUUCAAUUAAUUUUGUAAUUCAAUUUGUUCGGUUCUGAAUAUUUCAGUGUGUCUCAGUGAAGGGAGAAGCUUUUUCAAGGAGCACAGCUGUUUGGCUUCAGUAGGUUUCUCCAAGUACAAGUGCUAUCAGUAUUUCUGCUUUCAGAAUUAUUUCUCUGUAGGUGGGUUUGAAGUAGCACCAUCACCAUUCAGAUCUUUCAGUGUCUGCAUCAUCACAUUUGGGAUGUUCUAGUGCAAGCCAAUGUCCCACCAGCGAGCCCGUAGCACUUUCUGGUGUAAUUUCUUCACCUGUGUACAUUACUACUUCUUUUGUAUCUCUGUGCCUGUUUUGUACUUCACAUCUUGCUUUAUUUUAUUGUUUAAUCAAAUUAAGUUCUGUAGAGUUCAUACGGUGUACUCAACAGCUUUUUGAGUAAUCCUGGGGAAGGAAAAGGAGCAAUGAAGAUAUUUUAGUUUUGCUCACUUUCAUUUCAAUGUUGUAAAAGAAGUAAUUGCUAGAUAAGCAUCAUGUUAAAUAGUUUUCUACACAUGUUCAA